UCGGGGGCCGCGGAGGAGGAGGAAGGUGCGUCCGGACAGGCGAGUGCGGCGGCGACAGCGACAGCGGCUGGCCGGGCUCAGGGGGCUGCCGCAGGAGAAGUGCUGAAGAAGAGGUUUCUCCUUAGCAGGAGGACUUGCAGCCAAGGACAGCUUUAUGAUCUGGAACCAGUCAGUGUGUAUCCUUGCUGGGUGCCCCAGUUUGCUCCCUUGAUCAGCUGGCAAAGUGUGACCCACCAACUUUGAGGAGUGGAAGGGAGGCACCCUCCCCCUUACCUGCCCCGCACACCUGCGCUGGAGACCUAACCCUUGGUGAGGACAGCCUUUAAGGGAAGUAAGAACACAGCCUGUCAAAGCUUCCCUUGGGUCAAAGGAAAUGGAAGCGCAGUGCCAACCACUGGAGGGGGUAACACCAAAGCCUACAAACAAACUUGGAGAGGAGGUCGUCUAAUUGCCCCUGUUUCUCCUCAGUGCCUUGCUGUGGAUGCAGCCAUAGAUCUUCCUGUUGGGUCCCGGGAAGCGUGGGCUGAAAGAGGCACUUCUCGAGCUUCUCAAGGGCCUCUACUUCUGCUGAAGAACAGCAGUGCUGGGGGAGGGUGCUCUCGUAUGUCUCUAUUGCCUCCACCCCUGCUGAGGGUGAGCACAGGCAAAGUGAGACCCUCCUGCUGGCUCUUGCCCUGAAGUGCCAUCGACUUGACUGCAGUCUGAAUUAUAGCACCAAAUGAAAACACAUUGCUACACCAAGCAGUUUCCUAGAAAGCCACCAUAUGAAUCUGUCUGCAACCAAGGAACCCAGGCCCUCUGAUAGCUCUCAGACAUAAAGCCAAUUGAUCAUACACAACAUAAACCACAGUCAAAUUCUCAAAGGAAAAAACAAUAAGAAAUCAAAAUGCCCCAUCCAAAUGGUAGCACAUUUGAAAAAUAAAGUGUCAACUUUCUCAGAUGAGAAGAAAUCAGCACAAUAACUCCAGUAAUACAAAAAGCCAGAGUGUUUUGUCACCUCCAAAGUAUCUUACUAGCUCCCAAGAAGUGGAUUCUAACCAAAAAGAAAUGUCUGAAAUGACAGAAAUAUAAUUCAGAGUGUGAGUGGCAAAGAAACUCAACAAGAUCUAAGAGAAAGUUGAAAUCCAACACAAAGGAAACAGAAAAGUGAUUCAGGAUUUGAAAGACAACAUAAUUAUGUUAUGAAAUAAACAGAACUUUUGGAAUUGAAAAUUUUAAAAAUUCACUACAGGAACUUCAAAAUACACUGAAAACCUUAGCAACAGGAUAGACCAAGCAGAUGAAAGAAUCUCAGAGUUCAAAGAUUGGUUCUUUGAAUCAACCCCAACAAAAAUAAAGACAAAAAAUGUUUAAUGAACAAAGCUUUUGAGAAACAUGAGAUUAUGUAAAGCAAUAAAAAUCUAAGACAUAUUGGCACUCUUGAGAGAGAAGAAGAGAAAGUAAGCAGCUUGGAGAAUAUAUUUGAGAAUAUAAUUCAGGGAAGUUUCCCCAACUUUUCUGUAGAGGUCAACCUGCAGAUAUAAGAAAUCCAGAGAACUCCUGCAAGAUAACUAUAAAAGACACCUAUCCCCAAGGCGCGUAGUCAGACUAUCCAAGGUCAGUGUGAAAGAAAAAAAUCUUAAAGUCAGCUAAAGAAAAGGGUCAUGUUAACUAUGAGGGGAAACCCAGCAGAUGAACAGCAGACUUCUCAGCAAAAACCUUGCAAGCCAGAAUAGAUUGAGGCCCAUAUUUAGCAUCCUUAAAGAAAAGAAAUGCCAGCCAAGAAUUUUAUAUGCUGACAAACUAAGCUUCAUAAAGCAGAAGUAAAGUCUUUCCCAGAAAAACAAUAGCUGAGGGAAUCUAUCACCACCAGACCAGGCCUACAAGAGAUGCUUAAUGAAGUUCUAAACAUGGAAAUAAACUCACUACCAAACAAACAAGAACAACAAACAAACAAAAACAACUACUCACCAAAAAAAGCCCUGGACUACAGCUGAAUUCUACCAGACACAUAAAAAACAGCUAGUACCAAUCCCACUGAAACUAUUCAAACAAAAUUGAAGAGGAGGGAUUCUUUCCUAAAACAUUCCAUGAAACCAGUAUCAUCCUGAUAUCAAAAUCUGGCAAAGACACAACCGAAAAAUAAAAUUACAGGCCAAUAUCCCUGAUGAACAUACAUUCAAAAGUCCCCAACAGAAUACUAGCAAACUAAAUUUAGCAGCACAUCAGAAACUUAGUUCACACAUGAUCAGAUGGGCUUUACUUCUGGAAUGCAAAGUUAGUUUAAUGUAUGCAAAUUAAUAAAUGUGAUUCAACUUAUAAACAGAAUUAAAAACAAAAACUAUAGAAUUAUCUAAUAGAUGCAGAAAAAGCAUUCGAUAAAAUCCAGCAUUUGUUCAUGAUAAAAACCCUCAAAUAACUAGUCAUAAAAGGAACGUGCAUCAAAAUAAUAAGAGCCAUCUAUGAUAAAGCAACAGCCAACAUCAUAUUGAAUGGCCAAAAGCUGGGCCAUUUCCCCUAGGAACUGGAACACAACAAGGAUAUUCAGUUUCACCACUUUUAUUCAACACAGUACUGGAUGUCCUAGCCAGAGCAAUAAGGAAAGAGCAAGAAGUAAAAGGCAUUAAAAUAGGAAAAGAAGUAGUCAUGUUUUCUCUCUUUACUGAUUAUAUAAUCCUGCACCUAAAAAAGCCCAAAGACUCCACCAAAAGCCCAAAGACUCUAGACCCAAUAAAUGACUUCAGUAAAGUUUCAGGACACAAAAUCAACAUACAAACAUCAGUAACAUAUCUCUACACUAAUAAUGUUCAAGCCGAUUACCAAGUAAAGACUGAAAUCUUAUUUACAAUAGCCACACACAAAAAAAUACCUAGUAAUAUAUCUAACCAAGAAGGUGAAAGAGCUCUGCAAGGAGAAUUACAAAACAUUGCUGAAAGAAAGCAUAAAUGACACAAACAAAUGGAAAACAUUCCAUACUCAUGGAUUGGAAAAGUGGAUAUCAUUAAAAUAGCCAUACUUCCCAAAGCAGCCUACAUGGUUGCAAAAAAAAAAAAAGAGAGAGAACAUUUAUCCACUGUUGGUAGGAAUGUUUGGCCACUUUGGGAAACAGUUUAGAGAUUUCUCAAAGGACUAAAUAUAAAACAAUCAUUCAACCCAGCAGUCCUAUUAUUGGGUAUAUACCUAAAGGAAAAGAAAUCAUUCUACCUAAAAGACAACUGCACUCGUAUGUUCAUUGCAGCACUGUUCACAAUAGGAAAGACAUGGAAUCAACCUAGGUGCCUAUCAGUAGUGGACUGGAUAAAGAAAAUGUACUGCAUAUAUACCAUGGAAUAUUACACAGCAAUAAAAAAGAAUGAAAUCAUCCCCUUUGCAGCAGUAUAAAUGCAGCUGGAGGCCAUUAUCCUAAGCAAACUAAUGCAGAAAUAGAAAUGCAUAUAUUGCAUGUUCUCACUUAUAAGUGGGAGCAAAACAUUGGGUUUACAUGGACAUAAAGAUGAGAACAAUAGACACUGGUUACUCCAGAAAGUGGAAGAAAAGGAGGAGGGCAAGGGUUGAAAAACUACCUAUUGGGUACUGAUAUGGUUUGGCUCUGUGUCCCCAUCCAAAUCUCAUGUGGAAUUGUAAUCUCCAUGUGUCAAGAGAGGGAACUGGUGGGAGGUGGUUGGAUCAUAGGGGCAGAUUUCCCUUUUCCUGUUCUCAUGAUAGUGUGUCCUCACAAGAUCUGGUUGUUUAAAAGUAUGUGCUGCUGCUGCCUCCUCCUCCUCCUCCUUCUCCACCUCCUCCUCCUCCUCCUCCUUCUUUCUCCUUCUCCUUCUUUCUCUCUCCCUCUCCUGCCACCAUGUAAGAUGUGACUUGCUUCCCCUUCGCCUUCCUCCAUGAUUGUAAGUUUCCUGAGGCCUCCCCAGUCAUGCAGAACUGUGAGUCAAUUAAACCUCUUUUCCUUAUAA
rnacentral:lncRNA from 10 species